GAUGAAGAACGUAGCGAAAUGCGAUAAGUAGUGUGAAUUGCAGAAUUCAGUGAAUCAUCGAAUCUUUGAACGCACAUUGCGCCCCAUGGUAUUCCGUGGGGCAUGCCUGUUCGAGCGUCAUUUACCCCCUCAAGCUCCGCUUGGUGUUGGGCGUCUGUCCCGCUUCGCGCGCGGACUCGCCCCAAAGGUAUUGGCAGCGGUCGUGCCAGCUUCUCGCGCAGCACAUUGCGCUUCUCGAGGCACCGGUGGGCCCGCGUCCAUCAAGCUCACCCCCCCAGUUUGACCUCGGAUCAGGUAGGGAUACCCGCUGAACUUAAGCAUAUCAAUAAGCGGGGA
rnacentral:misc_RNA from 1 species